rnacentral:lncRNA from 1 species
AGCCUAAGCAGAGCCAAAAGUUGAAAGUCGACAAGAGUCGGAUAGAAUGCUUCUUUUGUAAGAAGCUGCAUCAUUGAAAAAAGAAUUAUCCUGCUUAUAUAGAAACUCUUGACCCAAACAGGCCUAAGAAUAAGAGAAACAAGCAAUCGAUUACUUCACAAGGUACUUAUAUGAUAACUCUUUAUAAUUUCUCUAUUUGUGAUACUCCUAUCGGGUAUUGGAUAUUGA